UAGGGAAUCUUCGGCAAUGGACGAAAGUCUGACCGAGCAACGCCGCGUGAGUGAAGAAGGUUUUCGGAUCGUAAAACUCUGUUGUUAGAGAAGAACAAGGACGUUAGUAACUGAACGUCCCCUGACGGUAUCUAACCAGAAAGCCACGGCUAACUACGUGCCAGCAGCCGCGGUAAUACGUAGGUGGCAAGCGUUGUCCGGAUUUAUUGGGCGUAAAGCGAGCGCAGGCGGUUUCUUAAGUCUGAUGUGAAAGCCCCCGGCUCAACCGGGGAGGGUCAUUGGAAACUGGGGGACUUGAGUGCAGAAGAGGAGAGUGGAAUUCAAUGUGUAGCGGUGAAAUGCGUAGAUAUAUGGAGGAACACCAGUGGAGAAGGCGGCUCUCUGGUCUGUAACUGACGCUGAGGCGCGAAAGCGUGGGGAGCAAACAGG
rnacentral:rRNA from 1 species